rnacentral:rRNA from 1 species
ACUCCUACGGGAGGCAGCAGUGAGGAAUAUUGGUCAAUGGAGGGAACUCUGAACCAGCCAUCCGCGUGUAGGAAGACGGCCUUAUGGGUUGUAAACUACUUUUAUACAGGAAGAAACGUACCCUCGUGAGGGUGCGUGACGGUGACUGUAGGAAUAAGCACCGGCUAACUCCGUGCCAGCAGCCGCGGUAAUACGGAGGAUCCAAGCGUUAUCCGGAAUCAUUGGGUUUAAAGGUCCGUAGGUGGAUGAUUAAGUCAGAGGUGAAAUCCUGCAGCUCAACUGUAGAAUUGCCUUUGAUACUGGUUGUCUUGAAUUAUUGUGAAGUAGUUAGAAUAUGUGGUGUAGCGGUGAAUGCAUAGAUAUCACAUAGAAUACCGAUUGCGAAGGCAGAUUACUAACAAUACAUUGACACUGAUGGACGAAAGCGUGGGGAGCGAACA